AGGGAAUCUUCCACAAUGGACGAAAGUCUGAUGGAGCAACGCCGCGUGAGUGAUGAAGGGUUUCGGCUCGUAAAACUCUGUUGUUGGAGAAGAACAGGUGAUAGAGUAACUGUUAUCAUCUUGACGGUAUCCAACCAGAAAGCCACGGCUAACUACGUGCCAGCAGCCGCGGUAAUACGUAGGUGGCAAGCGUUGUCCGGAUUUAUUGGGCGUAAAGCGAGCGCAGGCGGUUUUUUAGGUCUGAUGUGAAAGCCUUCGGCUUAACCGGAGAAGGGCAUCGGAAACCGGGAGACUUGAGUGCAGAAGAGGACAGUGGAACUCCAUGUGUAGCGGUGAAAUGCGUAGAUAUAUGGAAGAACACCAGUGGCGAAGGCGGCUGUCUGGUCUGUAACUGACGCUGAGGCUCGAAAGCAUGGGUAGCGAACAGGAUUAGAUACCCUGGUAGUCCAUGCCGUAAACGAUGAGUGCUAAGUGUUGGAGGGUUUCCGCCCUUCAGUGCUGCAGCUAACGCAUUAAGCACUCCGCCUGGGGAGUACGACCGCAAGGUUGAA
rnacentral:rRNA from 1 species